rnacentral:rRNA from 1 species
AUUGAACGCUGGCGGCAUGCCUUACACAUGCAAGUCGAACGGUAACAGGUCUUCGGAUGCUGACGAGUGGCGAACGGGUGAGUAAUACAUCGGAACGUGCCCGAUCGUGGGGGAUAACGGAGCGAAAGCUUUGCUAAUACCGCAUACGAUCUACGGAUGAAAGCAGGGGACCGCAAGGCCUUGCGCGGACGGAGCGGCCGAUGGCAGAUUAGGUAGUUGGUGGGAUAAAAGCUUACCAAGCCGACGAUCUGUAGCUGGUCUGAGAGGACGACCAGCCACACUGGGACUGAGACACGGCCCAGACUCCUACGGGAGGCAGCAGUGGGGAAUUUUUGGGACAAUGGACGCAAGUCUGAUCCAGCCAUUCCGCGUGCAGGAUGAAGGCCCUCGGGUUGUAAACUGCUUUUGUACGGAACGAAAAGGUUUCUAUUAAUACUAGGAGCUCAUGACGGUACCGUAAGAAUAAGCACCGGCUAACUACGUGCCAGCAGCCGCGGUAA